rnacentral:rRNA from 1 species
GCCUACGGGACGCAGCAGUAGGGAAUCUUCCACAAUGGGCGAAAGCCUGAUGGAGCAACGCCGCGUGGGUGAAGAAGGUCUUCGGAUCGUAAAACCCGGUUGUUAGAGAAGAAAGUGCGUGAGAGUAACUGUUCACGUUUCGACGGUAUCUAACCAGAAAGCCACGGCUAACUACGUGCCAGCAGCCGCGGUAAUACGUAGGUGGCAAGCGUUAUCCGGAUUUAUUGGGCGUAAAGGGAACGCAGGCGGUUUUUUAAGUCUGAUGUGAAAGCCUUCGGCUUAACCGGAGUAGGUGAUUGGUAACU